rnacentral:rRNA from 1 species
GACGAACGCUGGCGGCGUGCCUAAUACAUGCCAGUAGAACGCUGAAGGAGGAGCUUGCUUCUCUGGAUGAGUUGCGAACGGGUGAGUAACGCGUAGGUAACCUGCCUGGUAGCGGGGGAUAACUAUUGGAAACGAUAGCUAAUACCGCAUAAGAGUAGAUGUUGCAUGACAUUUGCUUAAAAGGUGCAAUUGCAUCACUACCAGAUGGACCUGCGUUGUAUUAGCUAGUUGGUGGGGUAACGGCUCACCAAGGCGACGAUACAUAGCCGACCUGAGAGGGUGAUCGGCCACACUGGGACUGAGACACGGCCCAGACUCCUACGGGAGGCAGCAGUAGGGAAUCUUCGGCAAUGGACGGAAGUCUGACCGAGCAACGCCGCGUGAGUGAAGAAGGUUUUCGGAUCGUAAAGCUCUGUUGUAAGAGAAGAACGAGUGUGAGAGUGGAAAGUUCACACUGUGACGGUAUCUUACCAGAAAGGGACGGCUAACUACGU